AUGAGGGCGAGCCUCUCGGAGAGCGCCCUGACGUGCUGCUGGUACUCCAUGGCCUGCGUCAUGGCCUCCGCCUCCAGCUCGCCGAGCUGCACGCACAGCCGCUCCUCGGCCUCCUCCGCCACGGCCACCCGCGCCAGCGCCGCCUCCAGCUCCCGCUGCAGCCGCUCCUCCCGCGCCUCCGCCUCCGCCACGGCCCUCGCGAGCUCGGAGCUCUUGCCGUCCAUGGCCGCUGCCGCUGCCUUCCUCGCCAUGCCUCCUGACUUCUCGGGGGUGAGUGGGGGAGUAUACGUAAUAGCACUAUGCACAGACGUGUUUACGAGUUCGCUGGGAUCUGGAUCUCUCUUGAUCAGGUUGUGGCGCCUUUUAUAUAGGCCGGGCCGCUCGGGCCGGCUGCCGCCGCGGAGGGAAAGCGGGAAUGUGUCCAGGUUCAAUGAACCAAUCGGGCACGUUAGGUGUCGGCGUACGCCUACAGAGCUGCUACAUAUAAGGUGA
rnacentral:rRNA from 1 species